rnacentral:lncRNA from 1 species
UUAUUACAAUAUAUAUACUGUUGACCUAUACUCAGAAGGGGAUGGCCCGUUGUGGCAUAUGUACUUCCAUGUUGUCCUUUGCACUCUUCUCUACUUACUGAUUUUUUUCAUAUGCAAUUCAUGCCUUAUAUACAUAGUAGAUUCUUUUGGUGCUAUUGUCCCUUUAUGCCGGGGCGUUGCAUCUCAUGUUGCAGCUCUAAGUUGAGAGUCUGACAGGCCUGCUCAGUAUGUGGUUGCUCGUGUUUAGCGGUUUAUCAGUAAGCUUCGUGUCUCCUAGGGUUAGCCGAGUCUAGAGGUUUUGAUAUGGU